UUAUUAUCGAGUUGAAUGCUCGCUUUGUGUGGGUAUUUUGAUUCUAACUCUGAAUAGGAAGAUCUGAUGC